UAUUUUUAGUUAAAAAUUAUUAUUAUAAUGAUUCAAAAACAUAGAUUUUGACAAAAACAAAACAUGUUUUUAUAUAUCAGUGACGUAUUCCUGUCCAAAUACCACGAUAAUUCUAACAACAUUUCUGUGAAAGUAAAUGUUUCAAAAAAUAAAUUGUGGGACACUGUUUAAUUAUGUGACGAAUCUAAACUCGUAGUUUUUGAGGUUAACAUCGAUUUAUGCAAAAAAUAUAACCAUUAUUAUAUACCUGACACAUGUUUGUUAACUGAAUUGUUAGUUUUCAAUAACUGCUACUACUUAUAUUACUCAUUGUGACAGAAUCUAUACUUUACUAUAUAGUUGAAAGGAAAUACAACAGUGAAUCAGAAGAAAUUCAAGUGAAGUAACUAACAAUGAAGGAAACAAAGAUGAAAUAAUUUAUAACUAUAUUUAUGGAAAACCUUAAUUUUUUAUAAAUAUGAAAUUAUUAUAUAAAUGCGUGCAUUAUUAUAUGUGAAAACGUUAAUUAAGUUACUUCAUUAAAAUAUAAAUUUUAUAUAUUUAAUAAGUCACCACAUGAGGAAAUAUA